GACGAACGCAGGCGGCGUGCCUAAUACAUGCAAGUCGAGCGAAGUUUUUCUGGUGCUUGCACUAGAAAAACUUAGCGGCGAACGGGUGAGUAACACGUAAAGAACCUGCCUCAUAGACUGGGACAACUAUUGGAAACGAUAGCUAAUACCGGAUAACAGUAUUUCUCGCAUGAGAGAUAUUUAAAAGUUGGUUAUGCUAACACUAUGAGAUGGCUUUGCGGUGCAUUAGCUAGUUGGUGGGGUAAAGGCCCACCAAGGCGACGAUGCAUAGCCGACCUGAGAGGGUGAUCGGCCACACUGGGACUGAGACACGGCCCAGACUCCUACGGGAGGCAGCAGUAGGGAAUCUUCCGCAAUGGGCGAAAGCCUGACGGAGCAACGCCGCGUGAGUGAAGAAGGAUUUCGGUUCGUAAAGCUCUGUUGUUAGGGAAGAAUGGAUAUGUAGUAACUAUACA
rnacentral:rRNA from 1 species